AAUCUAAGAAGGUUAUUUGUGGACCAUAGGUUGAUUUUAUAACUACUGGGCUAGUGAUUGCACUAAAAAGGUUGUAUGCGCAUAUUUACCCUGUGCCUGGUUAUUUUUCUUCUGAACAAUUUUCUUUAUGGUCCUGAUU